rnacentral:rRNA from 1 species
GAUGAACGCUGGCGGCGUGCCUAAUACAUGCAAGUCGAGCGAACAGACGAGGAGCUUGCUCCUCUGACGUUAGCGGCGGACGGGUGAGUAACACGUGGAUAACCUACCUAUAAGACUGGGAUAACUUCGGGAAACCGGAGCUAAUACCGGAUAAUAUAUUGAACCGCAUGGUUCAAUAGUGAAAGACGGUUUUGCUGUCACUUAUAGAUGGAUCCGCGCCGCAUUAGCUAGUUGGUAAGGUAACGGCUUACCAAGGCAACGAUGCGUAGCCGACCUGAGAGGGUGAUCGGCCAAACUGGAAAUGGGAAACGGUCCAGACUCCUAAGGGAGGCAGCAGUAGGGAAUCUUCCGCAAUGGGCGAAAGCCUGACGGAGCAACGCCGCGUGAGUGAUGAAGGUCUUCGGAUCGUAAAACUCUGUUAUUAGGGAAGAACAAAUGUGUAAGUAACUAUGCACGUCUUGACGGUACCUAAUCAGAAAGCCACGGCUAACUACGUG